rnacentral:pre_miRNA from 1 species
UUAGUACUUCCUCCGUCCGAAAAUACUUGUCAUUGAAAUGGAUGUAUCUAGAUGUAUUUUAGUUCUAGAUACAUUCAUUUUCAUCCAUUUUGAUGACAAGUAUUUUCGGACGAAGGGAGUACCUU